ACGCUAAUGACCGUCUGUGAAGAAAUCAAAGAUGAACAAUGUGCUUCAUGCCCAAAUUAUGAGGUGCAAAUAGUAUUUCAUUUUCCUACUCUCCAUACAUCAGUGUAGCAGGGAUCAUGCAAGGUCAGUGAGCACUUUUCACACCAUGGAUGUAACAAGUCUUAAAGGACACAUAUAUUAUCAAAAUAUUUUGAAAAAAGAACCACACA